GAUUGAACGCUGGCGGCAGGCCUAACACAUGCAAGUCGAACGGUAACAGGAAGCAGCUUGCUUCUUCGCUGACGAGUGGCGGACGGGUGAGUAAUGUCUGGGAAACUGCCUGAUGGAGGGGGAUAACUACUGGAAACGGUAGCUAAUACCGCAUAACGUCGCAAGACCAAAGAGGGGGACCUUCGGGCCUCUUGCCAUCGGAUGUGCCCAGAUGGGAUUAGCUAGUAGGUGGGGUAACGGCUCACCUAGGCGACGAUCCCUAGCUGGUCUGAGAGGAUGACCAGCCACACUGGAACUGAGACACGGUCCAGACUCCUACGGGAGGCAGCAGUGGGGAAUAUUGCACAAUGGGCGCAAGCCUGAUGCAGCCAUGCCGCGUGUAUGAAGAAGGCCUUCGGGUUGUAAAGUACUUUCAGCGGGGAGGAAGGGAGUAAAGUUAAUACCUUUGCUCAUUGACGUUACCCGCAGAAGAAGCACCGGCUAACUCCGUGCCAGCAGCCGCGGUAAUACGGAGGGUGCAAGCGUUAAUCGGAAUUACUGGGCGUAAAGCGCACGCAGGCGGUUUGUUAAGUCAGAUGUGAAAUCCCCGGGCUCAACCUGGGAACUGCAUCUGAUACUGGCAAGCUUGAGUCUCGUAGAGGGGGGUAGAAUUCCAGGUGUAGCGGUGAAAUGCGUAGAGAUCUGGAGGAAUACCGGUGGCGAAGGC
rnacentral:rRNA from 1 species